rnacentral:lncRNA from 1 species
UAUUUAUAUAUUCUAUUGUUCUUUGAUUAUCACUUCUAUUUAUAUAUUCUAUUGUUCUUUGAUUCCAAAUCUUUGCUCCGAGCUAACCUUUUCUCAAAUGUCAAGCUUGUGAGUGGGGCAUUCCCAUCAUCUAGCCAUCAUCUAAGCAGCAUCCUUUGGCAAGCCAAUUAGCUACAAAAAUACACUCUUGGAUGGUUGGUGUAGUCUUGUAUUUGGAUCCCAUAUUAUAUCAAUGUCAUUACAGCAUGCCUAACUCCUUUAGAAGCUCAAAAUAUAUUCCAAUACUUGAAAUUUUAAUUCCUUGAAGAUGGAGUGCGGAGCAUGCUGAACAAGGUUCAUUUCCAUUUCAAAAUAAGGUCCAUGUAGUAUCAUAGAUUAAGCA